GACGUAGGGCGCGAGCGUUGUCCGGAUUUAUUGGGCGUAAAGAGCUCGUAGGCGGCUUGUCACGUCGAUUGUGAAAGCCCGAGGCUUAACCUCGGGUCUGCAGUCGAUACGGGCUAGCUAGAGUGUGGUAGGGGAGAUCGGAAUUCCUGGUGUAGCGGUGAAAUGCGCAGAUAUCAGGAGGAACACCGGUGGCGAAGGCGGAUCUCUGGGCCUUACCUGACGCUGAGGCGCGAAAGCUAGGGGAGCGAACAGG
rnacentral:rRNA from 1 species